GGUUUGAUUAUGGCUCAGAUUGAACGCUGGCGGGAUGCUUACACAUGCAAGUCGAACGGCAGCAUGACUUCGGUCUGGUGGCGAGUGGCGAACGGGUGAGUAAUGUAUCGGAACGCCUAGUAGCGGGGAUAACUACGCGAAAGCGUAGCUAAUACCGCAUACGGCCCUUCGGGGGAAAGCGGGGGGACCUUCGGGCCUCGCACUAUUAGAGCGGCCGAUAUCGGAUUAGCUAGUUGGUGGGGUAACGGCUCACCAAGGCGACGAUCCGUAGCUGGUUUGAGAGGACGACCAGCCACACUGGGACUGAGACACGGCCCAGACUCCUACGGAGGCAGCAGUGGGAAUUUUGGACAAUGGGGGAAACCCUGAUCCAGCCAUCCUUGUGGGCGAUGGGGUUAGCCUUCGGGUUGUAAAAGACUUUUGGCAGGAAAGAAACGGCACGGGAUAAUACCCCGUGCAACUGACGGUACCUGCAGAAUAAGCACCGCUAACUACGCCAGCAGUUGCGUAGGCGUAGGGUGCAAGCGUUAAUCGGAAUUACUGGGCGUAAAGCGUGCGCAGGCGGUUCGGAAAGAAAGAUGAAACUUAUUUAACUUUGAACUGCAUUCUUAACUACCGAGCUAGAGUGUGUCAGAGGGAGGUGGAAUUCCGCGUGUAGCAGUGAAAUGCGUAGAUAUGCGGAGGAACACCGAUGGCGAAGGCAGCCUCCUGGGAUAACACUGACGCUCAUGCACGAAAGCGUGGGGAGCAAACAGAUGGAUACCCUGCAGUCUCACGCCCUAACGAUGUCAAUUAGCUGUUGGGGCCUUCGGCCCAGAAGCGCAGCUAACGCGUGAAGUUGACCGCCCGUGGAGCACACGGUGAUUAAACCAAAAGGAAUUGACGGGACCUUGCACCAAGCGGUGACAUGUGGAUUAAUUCGAUGCAACGCGAAAACCUUACCUACCCUUGACAUGUCUGAAUCCCGAAGAGAUUUGGGAGUGCUCGCAAGAGAACCGAACACAGGUGCUGCAUGGCUGUCGUCAGCUCGUGUCGUGAGAUGUUGGGUUAAGUCCCGCAACGAGCGCAACCCUUGUCAUUAGUUGCUACGAAAGGGCACUCUAAUGAGACUGUCAUGGGUGACAAACCGAGGAAGGUGGGGAUGACGUCAAGUCCCUUGCUGGCCCUUGCGGUAGGGCUUCACACGUCAUACAAUGGUCGGGACAGAGUGUAACGCCAACCGCGAGGGGGAGCCAAUCCAGAAACCCGAUCAAAACUGGAUCGCGUCUGCAACUCGAUCAUGGAAGUCGGAAUCGCUAGCAAUCGCGGAUCAGCAUGUCGCGGCAGAAUAAUACGUUCCUGGUCUUGUACACACCGCCCGUCAUACACCAUGGGAGUGGCUUUACCAGAAGUAGUUAGCCUAACCGUAAGGAGGGCGAUUACCACGGUAGGAUUCAUGAUCAGCAAGUCGUAACGAAGGGCACUUCAAGAUACCAUUGCCCG
rnacentral:rRNA from 1 species